GAUGAACGCUGGCGGCGUGCCUAAUACAUGCAAGUCGAGCGAAUGGAUUAAGAGCUUGCUCUUAUGAAGUUAGCGGCGGACGGGUGAGUAACACGUGGUUAACCUGCCCAUAAGACUGGGAUAACUCCGGGAAACCGGGGCUAAUACCGGAUAACAUUUUGAACCGCCUGGUUCGAAAUUGAAAGGCAGCUUCGGCUGUCACUUAUGGAUGGACCCGCGUCGCAUUAGCUAGUUGGUGAGGUAACGGCUCACCAAGGCAACGAUGCGUAGCCGACAUGAGAGGGUGAUCGGCCACACUGGGACUGAGACACGGCCCAGACUCCUACGGGAGGCAGCAGUAGGGAAUCUUCCGCAAUGGACGAAAGUCUGACGGAGCAACGCCGCGUGAGUGAUGAAGGCUUUCGGGUCGUAAAACUCUGUUGUUAGGGAAGAACAAGUGCUAGUUGAAUAAGCUGGCACCUUGACGGUACCUAACCAGAAAGCCACGACUAACUACGUGCCAGCAGCCGCGGUAA
rnacentral:rRNA from 1 species